CAUUAUUUACUUGAUUCUGAUAUCCUACGUGGAUAACUGUGGUAAUUCUAGAGCUAAUACAUGCACCAAAGCUCCGAUUUUUGACGAGCGCAUCUAUUAGAUUAAAACCGAUCGGGCUUCGGCUCGUUCACUGGUGACUCUGAAUAGCUAUAGCUGAUCGCAUGGUCUUUGUACCGGCGACAUCUCUAUCAAGUGUCUGCCUUAUCAACUUUCGAUGGUAGUUUAUGUGCCUACCAUGGUUGUUACGGGUAACGGAGAAUAAGGGUUCGACUCCGGAGAGGGAGCCUGAGAAACGGCUACCACAUCCAAGGAAGGCAGCAGGCGCGCAAAUUACCCACUCUCGGCAUGAGGAGGUAGUGACGAAAAAUAACGAGACCGUUCUCAUUGAGGCCGGUUAUCGGAAUGGGUACAAUUUAAACCCGUUAACGAGGAUCUAUGAGAGGGCAAGUCUGGUGCCAGCAGCCGCGGUAAUUCCAGCUCUCAAAGUGUAUAUCGUCAUUGCUGCGGUUAAAAAGCUCGUAGUUGGAUCUGCGCUUGGGAACUCGGUCCACCCCCUGGGUGAGCACUGGGCUUCCCGGCUAUGUUUUGCUGGUUUUCCCUGCAUUGCCUUCACCGGUCGUGUAGGGUGGCUAGCGAGUUUACUUUGAAAAAAUUAGAGUGCUUCAAGCGGGCUUUAAGUCUGAAUAUUCGUGCAUGGAAUAAUAGAACAGGAUCUCGGUUCUGUUUUUGUUGGUUUUCUGAACUGAGAUAAUGGUUAAGAGGGACAGACGGGGGCAUUCGUAUCGCUACGUGAGAGGUGAAAUUCUUGGACCGUAGCGAGACGUACGACUGCGAAAGCAUUUGCCAAGAAUGUCUUCAUUAAUCAAGAACGAAAGUCAGAGGUUCGAAGGC
rnacentral:rRNA from 1 species